rnacentral:lncRNA from 11 species
CCCUGUCUGUUUGAAUAGCUGAUACCAGAAGAUAGUAUUGGAGUAUUACUGCUUGCUCAGUAACAUUUAUCUAUCCCUUUCUUCAGGAGUGAAUUCAAGACUACUUUAAGCACCAUUGCUCCAUCCUGCAGGAUCCUGAGACCUGUGGUUUACUGAGAUAGGGAGAAUUCUGUAGCAAAGAACUUAGAGGCACUCCAUUGAAAUACAGCAUUAGUGCCCUCUAGUACAGAAUUCCCUUGAUGAAGAAAGUUCCUUCAAUGUACAAAUCCCAGGACUCCAUAGGAAGCAGCCAUGACUAAGUAGUUCAGUGUUUCUCAUUCUCUGCUCCUCCUGAUGUUUUUGCACUUAAGCUCCCAUAAUUCCUAAUCGCUGGUUUUUAUUUGAAAAUCAAGAGGUUCUGAUAAGAAGAAUACUGGACAAAUGGAAACAGUUGAAAUUUGGGACUUAAUUUGUAC